rnacentral:rRNA from 1 species
CCUACGGGGGGCUGCAGUGGGGAAUUUUGCGCAAUGGGCGAAAGCCUGACGCAGCAACGCCGCGUGGGUGAUGAAGGUCUUCGGAUCGUAAAACCCUGUCGUUGGGGACGAAGGUGGGGGCGUUAAUAGCGUUUCUGCUUGACGGUACCCGGAGAGGAAGCCCCGGCUAACUCUGUGCCAGCAGCCGCGGUAAUACAGAGGGGGCAAGCGUUAUUCGGAAUGAUCGGGCGCAAAUGUCGAGUACGGGGUUGUAAUCCCCGAGCGCAACCUGGGAACUGCAUCUGAGACUGGAAGGCUAGAGGACUGGAGAGGGUGGUGGAAUUCCUCGUGUAGCGGUGAAAUGCGUAGAGAUGAGGAGGAACACCAGUGGCGAAGGCGGCCACCUGGACAGUAACUGACGCUGAGGCGCGAAAGUGUGGGUAGCAAACAGGAUUAGAUACCCCUGUAGUC